rnacentral:tRNA from 1 species
GAAAGUGUGGCAUAGUGGUUUGAGCAUUGGAAUAUGACUCUGGAGACCAGGGUUUGAUUCCCCGCUCAGCCA